CCUACGUGUGGCAGCAGUGAGGAAUAUUGGUCAAUGGACGCAAGUCUGAACCAGCCAUGCCGCGUGCAGGAAGACGGCUCUAUGAGUUGUAAACUGCUUUUGUACGAGGGUAAACGCAGAUACGCGUAUCUCUCUGAAAGUAUCGUACGAAUAAGGAUCGGCUAACUCCGUGCCAGCAGCCGCGGUAAUACGGAGGAUUCAAGCGUUAUCCGGAUUUAUUGGGUUUAAAGGGUGCGUAGGCGGUCUGAUAAGUUAGAGGUGAAAUCCCGGGGCUCAACUUCGGAAUUGCAUCUGAUACUGUUCGGCUAGAGAGUAGUUGCGGUAGGCGGAAUGCAAGGUGUAGCGGUGAAAUGCUUAGAGAUCAGACAGAACACCGAUGGCGAAGGCAGCUUACCAAGCUACUUCUGACGUUGAGGUGCGAAAGCGUGGGGAGCAAACAGGAUUAGAUACCCCUGUAGUC
rnacentral:rRNA from 1 species